GACGAACGCUGGCGGCGUGCUUAACACAUGCAAGUCGAACGGAAAGGCCCUGCUUUUGUGGGGUGCUCGAGUGGCGAACGGGUGAGUAACACGUGAGUAACCUGCCCUUGACUUUGGGAUAACUUCAGGAAACUGGGGCUAAUACCGGAUAGGAGCUCCUGCUGCAUGGUGGGGGUUGGAAAGUUUCGGCGGGUGGGGAUGGACUCGCGGCUUAUCAGCUUGUUGGUGGGGUAGUGGCUUACCAAGGCUUUGACGGGUAGCCGGCCCGAGAGGGUGGCCGGCCACAUUGGGACUGCGAUACGGCCCAGACUCCACCGGGAGGCAGCAGUGGGGAAUUGUGCACAAUGGGCGGAAGCCUGAUGCAGCAACGCCGCGUGCGGGAUGACGGCCUUCGGGUUGUAAACCGCUUUCGCCUGUGACGAAGCGUGAGUGACGGUAAUGGGUAAAGAAGCACCGGCUAACUACGUG
rnacentral:rRNA from 1 species